UCGUCUGGUCAUCAAUUUAAAGCGCAUCGCUAGACUGCUCACAACUUGUCUUGAAAAUGUCUAUACACGUGUCCUCAUCAUGGUCUCUUGUACGCAUUCAUUUUAAGAACUACACGUCCCAAAGCCCCUUCGUGGAAAACACACAUCGCUUUUUGUUGCCUGGAAGCGGCAAGAGCGUGGGGCUUGCUGGGAAGUAUCGUCUGAAAGCAGUCGGUUCUGCGUAAAUACUACUCCGACAUGGAGCUGUUCUGAACUACUAUUCCCUCGUACUUGUUGAGAGUUGCUGAAGCGUGUCACGGUUUUGUAAAUGUCCGUGUGUGCCAGUCACGUGUAGAGAGAGUCCGUUGAUCUCGUUCUGUCCCUGCAGUCGUACUUGCUUAGGGUGUUCGUGUCGUUUAGGUUUCUGGUUAUUUAAUUUUGUUUUUAGGCCCUGCUAUUACCUAUAUUAAUUAUUUUUCAUAAAAAUGAGUGACAACGAUGAUAUCGAAGUCGAUAGUGACGUCCACAGUCUGAUAUACAUCUUUGUCUGUGGGAGGAAGCAAACAAGGUAAAGCUUACUCUUGGAAAUAGGUGUGGGGCUCUAAAUUUGUAGAUACAGGUGGCAAUGAUAUUACGCAGAAAUUGAUACCCGACUGUAGGGGUUGAGUUGCUACGCACACGACUGUCCUAAAAUGGCUGGCUGAUUUCUGGGGCUGUACGUACCCUUGGCUGGUGCUUUGAACCUCGUGUAACAGCGGAAGACGAUCGCAAAAGCCAAGGCCUCUGCUGUCUGGAACACGGUGAAGAGGAGUGGGAACAGGACCAGGGGUCCGAUGACCUUCAGGGGGAACGCCACUUUCAGAAUGGUGAAGCAAAUUUGGGUAUUCUGACAGCCUGUUUCCACACCGAUCGUCCUCCUGCAUCUGAGAUGGGAGAAAGCAAAAAAAAAAAAAAAAAACGAUCUUCUGCUGUAGUCCUUAUUUGCUUCUGCUUCCUGGCCUCUGCUUCUUGUGUUGAAUUGAGAUUUCUUUAAAGGCCAUAAUUUCUAGAAGUAUUUUGUAAUUGAAGGCAUUAAACAAGCUAGGAAUGUUAAUGUAUAGUGAAAUGUUAUUGACUACAUGGCUAAAUAUUAGCAAUUCACAGUACCAAACCUUGCGAUUUACUUGAAAUCUGUUUGCUGAAGUAUACUACUGAUUACCUUGUGUAGUUUAUCAAUUCUGAGUGCAAUGUCAUUCGUCUAAAUAACCUGUGUGCUGCUGUAAACAUACUUUCCGUUGAUCCUGAAGAUGCUGGAUAGGAGGUACCCAAACAGGAAGCCGCUCAGUGGCAUCAGGGACGCUGUGGCCAGGAGCCGAGGGGUCAGGAUCCUCAGCAAGAUGUCUCCCAUUAUGAUGCCGGCCAUUACGAGAAACGGCGCGUAGCAGACCAGCAAAACGCCCAUCCCGGCCUGCGGGUCACAUGACAGCAGGACGGGUUAGGCCAUCUGUGUACAUCAGUGCCUUUGUAGCUAGCUUGAGCUUGGUUUUUGACAUCCAUGCUCAGGCAAAUUUCCUGAGCAUGGAUGUCCUAAAUCUUACAAUAUAAUAAUAAUAAUAAUAAUAGAAUUAUAUUAGCUCUGCCUACUAUCAGAACAGGGUAGUGCAGUGGUGUCAAACUCAUGCCAUGGAGGGCCGUGUGUAUGCAGGUUUUCAUUCCAGCCUCAGAUCUUGAUUAUAUAAUUAGUUAAAUUAUUUGCUGAAUUAGGGAUGCAGGUUUGUGCACAAUGGUGACCCGACGUCUAUGGUGACCCGCAUUGUCUAAAUAAAAAUUUUCUUAUAUUCUGUGCUUCAAUGCAGUUAAACGCAUAUGGCUGAAUGAGUAAUUGGACUCAAUUAAGGCAGCAUUAAUUGGUUGGAAUGAAAACCUGCAUACACACGGCCCUCCAUGGCAUGAGUUUGACACCACUGGGGUAGUGUGUUUUGGUGGCAUUUUCAAUGCUAAUAGAUAAGACAUGAGACUUAACUACAGUAAAUACAUAUGUUUGAAUAUGCUUUGUGAAAUGUGCAAUUUUGUAAGUCACUCAGGUCUGCUGAAUGGUAGUAAUGUAACGCAUAUAUUGUGAUCACCGUUGCCAUCUGAUUUAAAACGUGUAAACGUAGCAAGCGUGCGCGGCUUAGCACAGCAUCUGUUGUCGUGUAUGUGUGUGUGGGAAGCCAGAAAGCUUGUCCAGGUGCAUCACCUUGAUUAUGAUGGGAGAGUAGCGCGGUGCGCGGUGGUUGAUGGCGAUGCCGAUGGCACAGGGCACCAGGGUCAUGAGCAGAGCCAGAAUGAUGCCGGUAUAGGGCACCAUCCUCUCUAUGUUUGGGAUGCCCUGGCUGUACAGAUAGAGCAGCAGCGGCAUCAUGCCCAGUGCCAGAAAGGUGGAGCAGGUAGUCAUCACAAUGCUGGAGGAGAAAAAAAUGUCACCAACCCCCUAAAGCGGAGCACUGAGCCCUGGUCCCAAAAGCACUGAAAGGGGUAGCAAAAUGGCCUGCGACUGGAGGAAAAGCUUUCUUACGGGGCGACACAGCUCAGGACGUAUGAGCGGUUGUCUGGUAGUCGGAGGGUUGCUGGUUCGAUCCCCGCCCUGGGCGUGUUGAUGUGUCCCUGAGCAAGACACCUAACCCCUGACUGCUUUGGUGAAUGAGAGGCAUCAAUCGUAAAGCGCUUUGGAUAAAAGCGCUAUAUAAAUGCAGUCCAUUUACCAUUUACUUUCUUGGGUGAGGACAAAACACUGUCCAUUUUUCCGUGCAAUUUUUCUCAUCAGCUCCAUAAUUGGAGAGGGGCAAAGAAGAAACUAUUGCAUUGCAUGUCCAUAAACCACAAGUCAUGAUCAUUUCACAUAAAAGAAAGAGAACUGAUUUUUGAGAUAUGUAAGGGCAGAUCGUGAGUUGAGUAUGCACAAGUGAAAAAAUAUAAAGACAUUUACUGAAAUGUGUCUUUAGCACAGAGCCUAAAUAGUCAAACUAAUAAUAAUUUUAUCAUUUUAAUUAACGGAACUCUUAACCAAACAGAUCUGUCAGUAGUCACUAAUAAACUCACCAGCCACAGCAUAUCGUUUGCCCCUUGGUUGUGAUUAUAUGGGCAGAACCGCACCUAUUUAAGCUUAUGCCCCUUAAUCAAAUUAAAUAGUUUUAUAAUCAAGACAAUUAUCAAAUGCAUGGCUUAUCAUAAAACAUGGUUUUGGCACAUUGGUUUGAAAUGUUAUCUAUGGGGUUGCUUAACCUUUGGUUCUAUUCUGAUCUAUGUCAAAGGCAAAGUGGGCUCCAUAAUGUUUGGGACAAAGACUUUUUUCCUCUUGAUUUUGCUCUGUACUUCUAUGUGAAGUCUAUGGGUCACAGAGUUCAAGCCAUCAUUGUAUGCAAAGUUUAUGUGACAAAGGUCUCAAGCUUAUCUUUGUAAAGAGCAGUAGCUAUCUAAAAAGUUGCUAUGAAUUGUUUUCACUCAUUACUCAAGAAGCCACACAAAAGCUGCUUUUCCACCGCAUGGUACCGGCUCAACUCGACUCUACUUGACUUUUUUGGUUUUCCAUCGGGAAAAAGUUGUGGAUAGUGCCUGGUACCUGGUACUGUUUUGGUAUCACCUCCGUCAAGGUUCUAAGCGAGCUGAGGCGAUACCAAAAGGUGACGUGAAAACACUGCAGACCACUGAUUGGUCAGAGAGAAUCGUCACUAGGUUAACUUACCCUCUUGCAUCGCCUUUUAUGCUAAUGAUCAACCAGAGUCAUCUCGUCGUCUGAGAUCUGAUGUAGGAUUUCCAAAACUGUCCUGUUUUUUUUCAGCAUUCUUUUGUCUUGCUGCCUUCAGCAUCUUCUGAAACAAAAUUUGUCUCCUUGCUGUGACAAACAGCCACAUACCGAGAAUCAGGAACACCAUCCCUUCGGUAUCCUCCAUUGUUCCUGUGUGUGUCGUAUUGAAGAUGACGUCAUGGCAGUUUCAUGCGGCGUCGCUAUGAAGACCAGCUACAUUGACGGGGGUACUAUCUGCAGUGGAAAACGAAGUACCUGGUACCAAAAGCGAGUAGAGUCGGGUAGAGUCGAGUUGAGUUGAGCCAGUACCAUGCAGUGGAAAAGCCGCUAAAAGUGUUUUAAAGUAGAGUGGAGGGCCUAGAAGAGAUAACAGAUCAUGAGCCGGUCAGCAGACAUCUUGAGCAAACCAAACUCACCUCAGGUUCAUGUCACCUUGUACGGUCAGGGCAAAAAUGUUGGACAGGCUCCCCCCAGGACAGCAGCCGCAUAUCAGCACAGCAAGGGCCUCCAGGGGGCUGAGCCAGAACACUUUGCCCAGCAGGAAGGCAGACAGGGGCAUGAAGCCGUACUGGGCCACCACAGCAAUGGCCACCCCUUUCGGCCUCAAGAAGUGGGCCCUGAUUUUGGGGAUCUCCAUGGUGCAGCCCAAGGAUAUCAUGCUGAAGAAGAGCAUGGUGAUGGUGAGGAUGUUCAUAAUCUUGUCCAUCAGAGGAGAGAUGAAAAACUCAAAAACAAAGGUGCUGUUGGGAGGGGUGAUGUUGUAGGAGGUACUGGCAUCCCAGGGCUUUGGAUCUCCAUACAGUCCCGAUGUCUGAUUUGUAGUGUCAUCCAUUCCAAAUCUAUUCUUUCCUGGAUCUGCAAUGUGACAAACAUAGUCAAUGCGAGUAAAAGAAUGAUAUGAAAGAACCAGAGCCAGAGCCAGAAUCAUCACUGUCAACCAAGGCCAAAUCCUUCACUGAGUCUGAAUGGAGUCUCCAAGAGCACCAAUGUGUGCACACAAACCCUACAAGUCACUGCUUUCUAUUCAGGAUUCCAAAGCUUCUUUUUUUUUGGGAACUGCUGGAGGACAUGCUGCCAGCCUAUUGCCUUUUCGCUCUGGAGCCAAUCAGCUGAGCUGCACAGUCAUCACAUCGCAGAAGCUUGAGCCCUUGAGCUUGAGUCUGGUCCAGACCGCAGAACUGUUCUGUAGUGUGGACAGAAAGCAGGGACUUGAUGGAACACACGAGUCACUGAUUGGAUGGGGGCAGCUCUGCCGACUUAAACCUUCUCCUUGGGUGAUGCCAGGACCAAUUUAAUAUCAUCCUGCUGGACUCUAUACCACAGUGGGCACUGGAAUAGUCAGGAUUGGAUACCGCCAAGUGGGAUGAGCUGUUGACAACCUUAAUGAAAGGGAAUUGCAUUACUGACCACUGAGUUUCAUUCGCUCCAAUAGCCACUUCAUCAGAGGGCUCUUAAAUUAGGCAUGAAACUAAACUUAUUCAUUACCUGUUUCUUUAUCUGUAGCAUGGAAACAUGUAACAGAUUACCUGCUAACACUGUUCUGCAACUAUUAUUUAGAAUGGAUAAUGGCUUUGUCACGUGGCAUUUCUGCAUUGGAGUUUGACCAACUGAGGACUCUUCAGCUGUUGCUGGCAGUGGCAUCAUUUCAUUACCAGCACAGCAUCUGUCUGCUCACUCAAUACUCAGAUACAAAAUAAUUGGUAACUAUUCCACAGUGUCCAGGACCCUAACCCUUGUGUUCUGAUUACGUAUUACUGCAGUCUGAGGGAAUGCACGCACAUCGGAAAUAUUCCAACAGGUGCAGGAUAAAAAAAUAUAGUUAGUAAGAAGAGAGAGUAUAUCUACACACAGUGUUUUCUGCUCCCACAGUGAUUUAAUAGUACCAUGUGUAUUAUUAAAUCACUUUGGGAGCACAAAAAACAGUGUGCGGGUAUACUCUCUCUUCUUACUGAUUACUUAUUAACACGUGAAUCUGGUUAGCCUUGGGCAAGUAUACCUACAAUACUGAGAUUUUAAAGCAAUACAUAAAUACAAUUUAUGCAAAAUUGCAGUAUUUGGAAAAAAGCUAUAUAUAUGGAUCUCUCAAUUCCAGACAAUAUCAACAAUAUCUGGUUAAUAGUUGCCAUUUAACUCUGCUAGAUCACAUAUAACAAUGCACAUUGGCAAUAACAGUGUGAUUCAUUUGUGAUAAAAAUUAAAUUUUUAAACAUAGAAAGUUCACAAGAAUUAAAAAAAUUUUUUUUUCUGUGAAUUGUUUUCAGUGAAUAAAAAGGAAACAAAGUUUUCAUGCAGUAUAUUAUUAAUAUUUAUUGUUUUUAACUGAUACUCAUAUCUUUAUCUCAUGAUAUUCAAAUAAACUAUAUAGGUAAAAACACAAAGCAAAUACAGAUGAUGAACAACAAAUUGAAACUCAAUAAGAAUCAAAUUCACACUGGGUUAAUCACUCUCAAGUGUCAUUCUUCUUUUACUAAAAGUUGAAAAUGGGUCAAUCUGACCCAAAGCGAACACAAGGGUUAAAAUAAGACCAAACAGGUAAUGCUUUAUUUGCAAUGUUGUAAAGAGCUUCGUUUAAAUAAAAUUUAAAAAGUUAAAAUAAAUAAAAAAACUCAGCCUACCCAUGUACCUG